GUCGGCUACUUCUGUUAGACUUUUCCUGCGUCGCAGGUGUUUUGAGUGAUUUUAAUGACCGAUCUCGUCGACGUUUUUUAUUUUUAAUUUACAAUAACUUGUCUGCACCUCUUUUUUAUUUCUUUUCUCGCUGAAACUGUAAAUUCACGUACUAUUUCCUCGAUAACAUUCCCCUGUUCGACCAUUUUCCCUUCGAGGCACAAUGUGCGAUUGCGCAUUAGGAACUGAAGAGUAAAGGUCAUAUGAAUAAGGGUUGGGCUUAACAUCGAAUUAUUAUCUAUAGACAAUAAAUAAAUGUAGGUGCUAAACGUUAAAAAGCUUCUAAACGCUUAAUGGAACGUAACCAGUAAUUGUUUUAAUCAUAAUUAUUUUACUUUUUGUACAAAAUCCGAC
rnacentral:lncRNA from 1 species